UACGUAGGGCGCGAGCGUUGUCCGGAUUUAUUGGGCGUAAAGAGCUCGUAGGCGGCUUGUCGCGUCGUCCGUGAAAACCUGCAGCUCAACUGCAGGCUUGCGGUCGAUACGGGCAGGCUAGAGUUCGGUAGGGGAGACUGGAAUCCCUGGUGUAGCGGUGAAAUGCGCAGAUAUCAGGAGGAACACCGGUGGCGAAGGCGGGUCUCUGGGCCGAUACUGACGCUGAGGAGCGAAAGCGUGGGGAGCGAACAGG
rnacentral:rRNA from 1 species